rnacentral:rRNA from 1 species
GAGUUUGAUCAUGGCUCAGAUUGAACGCUGGCGGCAUGCUUUACACAUGCAAGUCGAACGGUAACAGGGAGCUUGCUCCGCUGACGAGUGGCGAACGGGUGAGUAAUGCGUCGGAACGUGCCGAGUAGUGGGGGAUAACGCAUCGAAAGGUGUGCUAAUACCGCAUACGAACUGAGGUUGAAAGUGGGGGACCUUCGGGCCUCACGCUAUUCGAGCGGCCGACGUCUGAUUAGCUAGUAGGUGAGGUAAAGGCUCACCUAGGCGACGAUCAGUAGCGGGUCUGAGAGGAUGAUCCGCCACACUGGGACUGAGACACGGCCCAGACUCCUACGGGAGGCAGCAGUGGGGAAUUUUGGACAAUGGGCGCAAGCCUGAUCCAGCCAUGCCGCGUGU